rnacentral:rRNA from 1 species
GAAACUUAAAGGAAUUGGCGGGGGAGCACAGCAACGGGAGGAGCGUGCGGUUUAAUUGGAUUCAACGCCGGAAAACUCACCGGAGGCGACGGUUACAUGAAGGCCAGGCUGAUGACCUUGCCUGAUUUUCCGAGAGGUGGUGCAUGGCCGCCGUCAGUUCGUACCGUAAGGCGUUCUGUUAAGUCAGAUAACGAACGAGACCCUCAUCCUUAAUUGCUACUAAUGACCUCGGUUGUUAGGCACAUUAAGGAGACCGCUGACGAUAAGUCAGAGGAAGGCGAGGGCAACGGUAGGUCAGUAUGCCCUGAAUCCUCCGGGCUACACGCGCGCUACAAAGGCCAGGACAAUGGGUUUCGACACCGAAAGGUGGAGGUAAUCCCGAAACCUGGUCAUAGUUCGGAUUGAGGGCUGAAAACUCGCCCUCAUGAAGCUGGAUUCCGUAGUAAUCGCGGAUCAACAUCCCGCGGUGAAUAUGCCCCUGCUCCUUGCACACACCGCCCGUCAAACCAUGCGAGUUGGGUUCAAGUGAGGAUGUAGUAUUUUGCUGCGUUCAAACUUGGGCUUAGCAAGCGGGGUUAAGUCGUAACAA